rnacentral:rRNA from 1 species
CAGUCGCCGCGGUAAUACGUAGGUGGCAAGCGUUGACCGGAAUUAUUGGGCGUAAAGGGCUCGCAGGCGGUUUCUUAAGUCUGAUGUGAAAGCCCCCGGCUCAACCGGGGAGGGUCAUUGGAAACUGGGAAACUUGAGUGCAGAAGAGGAGAGUGGAAUUCCACAUGUAGCGGUGAAAUGCGUAGAGAUGUGGAGGAACACCAGUGGCGAAGGCGACUCUCUGGUCUGUAACUGACGCUGAGGAGCGAAAGCGUGGGGAGCGAACAUGAUUAGAUACCCCCGUAGUCCCUGUCUCUUAUAC